GCAAGACAGCCUGGGCAGCUGCAGGGUGCCUGAGCAGAGCCUCUUCACAGCACAUUUGACAUCAGGGAACGACACAGACUCAAUGCAGGAGGCCUGCUCGAUGGAGUCCCACUGUCUCUGGACGACAGAAGAAACAAAGACCAGUUAGAGCUACUCUAUCAUGGGAACAAGACAACUGGGAAGGAAAUACCAAAGAGGAGGAUACAGGAACCACAUUAAAGAUCAGAUAUGAAGUUGUCUGUGGCACCAAUACUUCCUUGGGCUGUCACUCAGUGAAGAAGAGCUAUGUCCCCGCCUCUUCAGAGGCCCUCGGCUGUCAUUAGUUUACUGAUCAACAGCUAACUUGGCAGCUUCUACUGUGGCCUUUUUAUUUAACUGUACCAGGGAACUGAAGGUGCCAUCGUGAGAUAUGGCGCCAUCCAAAGGACAAUGAGGGCACUGACUUUGCAAAGGGUAUUUCAGGCAGUGCAAACACAAUCACUAAGCGUAAAUGCUACAAAAAUCAUUUAUGGCUUCAUGGUUUCAGUUGAUAACAUCAAUAAUGACACAUUUUUUUUAGAAAGUAUUUCUUUGUAUUUAUGUUCUGUGAAUCAUAAAGUGAGGUGAUCGAUUCUUCCCUUUGUAGAAACAGAUUGUAAAAAUCACAGACUAAAAAAAUAUAUUUAAUGACACUCUUCAGUGUUGCUUAUGUAGUGGCCACACCUGGAACAGAGCAAGCAUAAAAGGCAAGUGCAGUGUUGCU